rnacentral:misc_RNA from 1 species
UGGCUCCGGCAUCGAUGAAGAACGCCGCGAAACGCGAUAGGUAAUGUGAAUUGCAGAAUCCAGUGAAUCAUCGAAUCUUUGAACGCACAUUGCGCCCCCCGGCAUUCCGGGGGGCAUGCCCGUCCGAGCGUCAUUGCACCUAUCAAGCCCCGCUUGGUCUUGGGCCGCGCCUGGUUCCGCAGGCGGGCCCAAAACGCAGUGGCGGCCGCAGGGGAUCCCCAGCGCGAUGGUAACCCUAGCAACGCUGGUCCGAUCGCCCGCGGGCGCCAACCAACCACCCCAGAAAUUGACCUCGGAUCGGGCAGGGAUACCCGCUGA